rnacentral:rRNA from 1 species
AUCGAGGAGGAGACAACAGGGAUUACCUCAGUAACGGCGAGUGAAGCGGUAACAGCUCAAAUUUGAAAUCUGGCCUCACGGUCCGAGUUGUAAUUUGUAGAGGAUGCUUCGAGCAUGGUCUGGCCUAAGUUCCUUGGAACAGGACGUCAUAGAGGGUGAGAAUCCCGUAUGCGGUCAGGUGCCUACGCUCAUGUGAAGCUCCUUCGACGAGUCGAGUUGUUUGGGAAUGCAGCUCAAAAUGGGUGGUAAAUUUCAUCUAAAGCUAAAUAUUGGCCAGAGACCGAUAGCGCACAAGUAGAGUGAUCGAAAGAUGAAAAGCACUUUGGAAAGAGAGUUAAACAGUACGUGAAAUUGUUGAAAGGGAAGCGCUUGCAACCAGACUUGCGCGCGGCCGAUCAUCCGGUGUUCUCACCGGUGCACUCGGCCGUGCUCAGGCCAGCAUCGGUUUCGGCGGUUGGAUAAAGGCCUCAGGAAUGUGGCUCCUCUCGGGGAGUGUUAUAGCCUGGGGUGCAAUGCAGCCUGCUGGGACCGAGGACCGCGCUUCGGCUAGGAUGCUGGCGUAAUGGUUGUAAGCGGCCCGUCUUGAAACACGGACCAAGGAGUCUAACAUCUAUGCGAGGUUUUUGGGUGA